GACGAACGCUGGCGGCGUGCUUAACACAUGCAAGUCGAACGGAAAGGCCCUGCUUUUGUGGGGUGCUCGAGUGGCGAACGGGUGAGUAACACGUGAGUAACCUGCCCUUGACUUUGGGAGAACUUCAGGAAACUGGGGCUCAUACCGGAUAGGAUCUCCUGCUGCAUGGUGGGGGUUGGAAAGUUUCGGCGGUUGGGGAUGGACUCGCGGCUAAUCAGCUUGUUGGUGAGGUAGUGGCUUACCAAGGCUUUGACGGGUAGCCGGCCUGAGAGGGUGACCGGCGACCAUAGGACUGAGAUACGGCCCAGUCUCGAACGGGACGCAGCGGUGGGGAAUAUUGCACAGUGGGCGGAAGCCUGAUGCGGCAACGCCGCGUGCGGGAUGACGGCCUUCGGGUUGUGAACCGCUUUCGCCUGUGACGAAGCGUGAGUGACGGUAAUGGGUAAAGAAGCACCGGCUAACUACGUG
rnacentral:rRNA from 1 species